UGGGCAUUUAUUUGAAAGCAGUUUAUUCUACAGUGAAGAUAACUCUUUGUAAAUGUCCUAGAGAAUUAUAGUAGCUUUCUGUGUACUGCUUGCAAGUAAAAAAACGUGCACUGGUCCACUACUGACAUUU